AGCGGAUGAGGAGUGCUUGCACUCUGAUUCAGCGGCGGACGGGUGAGAAAUGCCUAGGAAUCUGCCCGAUAGUGGGGGACAACGUUUCGAAAGGAACGCUAAUACCGCAUACGUCCUACGGGAGAAAGUGGGGGAUCUUCGGACCUCACGCUAUCGGAUGAGCCUAGGUCGGAUUAGCUAGUUGGUGAGGUAAUGGCUCACCAAGGCUACGAUCCGUAACUGGUCUGAGAGGAUGAUCAGUCACACUGGAACUGAGACACGGUCCAGACUCCUACGGGAGGCAGCAGUGGGGAAUAUUGGACAAUGGGCGAAAGCCUGAUCCAGCCAUGCCGCGUGUGUGAAGAAGGUCUUCGGAUUGUAAAGCACUUUAAGUUGGGAGGAAGGGCUGUAGGCUAAUAUCCUGCAGUUUUGACGUUACCGACAGAAUAAGCACCGGCUAACUUCGUGCCAGCAGCCGCGGUAAUACGAAGGGUGCAAGCGUUAAUCGGAAUUACUGGGCGUAAAGCGCGCGUAGGUGGUUUUGUAAGUUGGAUGUGAAAGCCCCGGGCUCAACCUGGGAACUGCAUCCAAAACUGCAUGACUAGAGUACGGUAGAGGGUGGUGGAAUUUCCUGUGUAGCGGUGAAAUGCGUAGAUAUAGGAAGGAACACCAGUGGCGAAGGCGACCACCUGGACUGAUACUGACACUGAGGUGCGAAAGCGUGGGGAGCAAACAGGAUUA
rnacentral:rRNA from 1 species